UGACGAGUUUGAUCUGGCUCAGGAUGAACGCUAGCGGCAGGCUUAACACAUGCAAGUCGAGGGGUAUCAUGCUUUCGGGCGUGAGAGACCGGCGCACGGGUGCGUAACGCGUAUACAAUCUACCUUUUACAGAGGGAUAGCCCAGAGAAAUUUGGAUUAAUACCUCAUAGUAUUUUCGAAUCGCAUGGUUUGAUUAUUAAAGUUCCAACGGUAAAAGAUGAGUAUGCGUCCCAUUAGCUAGAUGGUAAGGUAACCGGCUUACCAUGGCGACGAUGGGUAGGGGUCCUGAGAGGGAGAUCCCCCACACUGGUACUGAGACACGGACCAGACUCCGUACGGGA
rnacentral:rRNA from 1 species